CGGGGCGGGCCUGGUAGUACUUGAGGGAGACCGCCUGGGAAUACCAGGGCUGUAAGCCUUUUC
rnacentral:rRNA from 1 species